rnacentral:rRNA from 1 species
GACGAACGCUGGCGGCGUGCUUAACACAUGCAAGUCGAACGGACAGACAGAGAGCUUGCUCUCUUGAAGUUAGUGGCGAACGGGUGAGUAACGCGUAAUCAACCUGCCCUUCAGAGGGGGAUAGCAACGGGAAACCGUUGCUAAUACCGCGUACGAUUCAUGAACGGCAUCGUUUAUGAAUGAAAGGUGGCCUCUAUGUAUAAGCUAUCGCUGAAGGAGGGGAUUGCGUCUGAUUACCUAGUUGGAGGGGUAACGGCCCACCAAGGCAAUGAUCAGUAGCCGGUCUGAGAGGAUGAACGGCCACAUUGGGACUGAGACACGGCCCAAACUCCUACGGGAGGCAGCAGUGGGGAAUCUUCCGCAAUGGACGAAAGUCUGACGGAGCAACGCCGCGUGAGUGAUGAAGGUCUUCGGAUUGUAAAGCUCUGUUAAUCGGGACGAAAGAGUUCUGCGUGAAUAAUGCAGAAAAGUGACGGUACCGGAAUAGAAAGCCACGGCUAACUACGUGCCAGCCGCCGCAGUAA